UGUUCCUGUCCUAGGUAGAAUGGCAUCUAGCUUGUGGUGUCCACUUCAUAUCAGCCAGGGACAAUGCAAUUCCUUGUUCAUCUAUUUGGUCUAUGCUCAUGCCUCAUUCAUGCUUUGGAUAUACUG
ensembl:snoRNA